UCUUUGCUCUCUGGAAAUCCCCUCAAACGUUGGUAUAGUCUAGAAUUCAGUUGAUGCAGAUAAGUAACGAAGGAAACAGCACUGGACAGAAGACCAAACAGCUGAACCAGCUCUGUUAAGAUGAAAAAGUUAUUUUUGUUGCUCUGUCUCUGUCACUUUUCAUCAGCAGUGAAACACACCCUGAGGUAUGCCUUAACUGCAUCUUCUGAAGUGCAAGACUUCAACUUUGUCGGUGUCACAGUGGUUGAUGGCAUUGUGGCGGGUUACUGCGACAGUGUCAACAAGAAAGUGGAACCAAAACAGGACUGGAUGAGAAAACUCAUUGAAGAUGAUCCUCAGCACUUGGAGUGGCAUACCCAACAGUGUUAUGUGUAUUACCCCAACUUCUUCAAAACCAUGAUACAUGAUUUGAAACAGCUCUUCAACCAAAGUGGAGGUGUCCACAUUCUCCAGACGAAUGCUGGUUGUGAUUGGGAUGACGAGACUGGAGAGGUUACUGGUUUUUAUCAGUUUGGUUAUGAUGGAGAAGACUUAAUGUCAUUCGACCUGAAGACACUGACAUGGGUCGCUUCAAAACCACAGGCUUACCACAUCAAUACGAGAUGGCAAUCUGACAAAACUGUAAUUCAAAGCAUUGAAUACCAACUCACACAGAUUUUCCCUGAGUGGCUGAAGAAGUAUGUGGCCUACAGCAACAGCUCUCUGCUGAGAACAGAGCCCUCAGUGUUUCUCCUCCAGAAGACGCCCUCCUCUCCAGUCAGCUGCCACGCUACAGGUUUCUUCCCUGACAGAGCCAUGAUGUUCUGGAGGAAAGAUGGAGAGGAGAUUCAUGAAGAUGUGGAACCUGGAGAGAUUCUCCCCAACCAUGAUGGCACCUUCCAGAUGAGUGUUGACCUGGACCUUUCAUCAGUCACACGUGAAGACUGGUGGAGGUACGACUGUGUGUUUCAUCUCUCUGGUGUAAAGGACGACAUCAUUACCAGACUGGAUGAAGCAGUGAUCAGGACCAACAGGGAGAGGCCCAGUAACAUGACCGUCCCCAUCGUUGCUGCAGUGGUUGCUCUUGCUCUCUUCCUUGUCGCUGCCUUUGGAUUCAUGGCUUACAAAAAGAAGAAAGCCAAAGGCCCUCCAUCUCCUCCUGACAACUGCCUUGAGGUCUCUGAGAAACUGAAUCCAGACAACUGAUUGACAAACGCACUCACUGAGUUUCCUCAUAUGGGAUGAAGAAAGUAAACUCUUUGACAUGUGCCAUGUUAAAUAACAUUACAUAACAUAAGUGAAGUAUUAGUCAUGAUUUAUGUGGUUGAUAUGUAAGUGCAAGUUUUUUUGGCAGAUGCAUUAAGCACCCAGGUGUCCAUAGCCAACAACCUUUUUGCACCCAGGGUUGAAAGGCUAUUGUGGCUAUUUACAUUACGGUGUUCUGGGCAUUCGAGCAACAUCGAAAUAUGACAUUAACAUGAAUGGGUCUAAUCAGCUUUUCUGGUAAGAUUUAUGUUGGCUGCCCCCUUAAAGUCAGAGAAUCAAACUAUUAGUCAGAGACUCCUCAAUCGACUGAGAUUCUUCAAGUGGAGCAGUAGUUUUUCUCUUUUUUUUGUUGUUUGUUUUUUUGGUCAGUUUGUUUGCAGUGUUCCUCAGGGAAUGUUUUGGUCCCCAGAUGUGGCGGCAGAGUGAGCGCUCCUUGCUUUUACACUGCUCUACGGUACACGCAUUUGCGAAUCCUACCAUAGAGAAGCAAUGACCCGCCUUACUCUGCCUCUGACUGGCUUACCCUGACAUUCUUACCCUAACCUUAACCAAUCCCACUCCUCUUGCCUAAGGCAAGGGUCAUUCCUUCACCAUCCUAGGAUUCACAAAUCUGCCUCCGAUACAGACAGCUGUGGACCCACACCCAGGGUGAGUCUGAGUGAGGUGGAGGCAGCUGCCCUGAGGAAAAGAGCCUUUGCCUGGUCAGGAGAUAAUGUUAUCUUCUGCCUUCUGCUUAGAACUGGUAAAUUUACAGCUCACAGCAUCUUAAUACGAUACAGUCUCUGGCUUUUGUUUGAUAUCUAGUGUCAGCAAAAAAAUAUUGCACACACACACACACACACACACACACACA